rnacentral:rRNA from 1 species
UACGUAGGGAGCAAGCGUUGUCCGGAAUCAUUGGGCGUAAAGCGCGCGUAGGCGGCCCUGUAAGUCCGUUGUGAAAGUCAAAGGCUCAACCUUUGAAAGCCGAUCGAUACUGCCGGACUAGAGUCCGGAAGAGGCGAGUGGAAUUCCCGGUGUAGCGGUGAAAUGCGCAGAUAUCGGGAGGAACACCAAUGGCGAAGGCAGCUCGCUGGGACGGUACUGACGCUGAGACGCGAAAGCGUGGGGAGCAAACAGG